UUCUUCGGAUGAAGAUCUUGGUGACUGAGUGGCGGACGGGUGAGUAACGCGUGGGUAACCUGCCUUGUACAGGGGGAUAGCAGCUGGAAACGGCUGGUAAUACCGCAUAAGCGCACGGUAUCGCAUGAUGCAGUGUGAAAAACUCCGGUGGUAUAAGAUGGACCCGCGUUGGAUUAGCUAGUUGGUGAGGUAACGGCCCACCAAGGCGACGAUCAGUAGCCGGACUGAGAGGUUGACCGGCCACAUUGGGACUGAGAUACGGCCCAGACUCC
rnacentral:rRNA from 1 species